CCGCCCUGAGCAGCGAGCGCCGCCGGGCUCGCCCGGCGCCUCGUACCGGCCUCGAGGGGGAGAUCUCCCCGCACCGGCCGGCGAGUGCCGGACCCCGGGUGCAGCUGUGGGUGCUCCGGGAUCCCCUCGACCGUGGGCGUGAACCUCGGCCUCCGGAGCCUGCAUAAGCACACCCAGUCUCAGCUCGUCUCUUUUAAACCGCCACUGGUUUUAUUCGCCUUUUCCGCGACUCACGGAGAUCGAGCGCGUGGGAUCGAGCAUACUGCCAGUGACCGAUCCGCACGGGCUCCGCCGAGCGUCAACACCCGCCAAGUUCCGUACCCCUGCGGAGGCAUGCUCUGCGUCUCCGACUCCCAUCGCGACAGAGGCCACGGUACCGGCUCUGCAAGUAAUACCCACCGAGGCAGGAGACGACGGCACGCCUGGCGUUGCUGCUCCCCCCCGCGGGGUUCUCUGCAUCCUCAGUGCUUGUGGCACUGGGUUUUACUGCUAUUUGCUGGGCUUUGUCUUUGUUUUCUGUUAUUUCGCACGUAUUUUUGUCAGGCCAGGCUGGAGGGCGUACGGGCAGAACAAAAGCGUUCCACCCUCGUGAGGGACUGCAGACAACAUACCAACGGAAGGCACUCGCCAGCCCCGAGAAGACCACCCAUCGCAGCAAGACUGACCCAAAGGGGCGAUUAUUGCCUGCUGGUCUCAAUAGCCUUUGUUAUUGGCAGUUCAAAAGCUUUCCUGGUUCUCAUUCUCUAAGUCUCAAAUCUAAGUCGUCUUUUGUUCCCUGCAUCUCCUGUCUUUGUAUAAAAUACGGCUGCUCCUGUUACUUACAACCCAUCGCGCUUUGCGGUCUUAUUUUUGGUGUAAAAUGUUGCCAGAUGCCACCUGCCCCUACAUUUUGACUGUGUAGCCCACCUGAUUGCAGAGCCUGGCAAUUUUUGCAAGGAACCAUUCAUGCCUGGGAACAGAGGAGGCAGAUGACAGCAGCUCACUACUGUCAGCAGACCUACUGUGGGUCUACAACUUAGACAAGUUGUACCUACAUGGUACAAGACACUCGGGUCCCAUCAGGCUGCAAGCGGGAACUGUAAAUGUAAUCAGAUUGACGGAGGUGGGGCACACCUCUAACUCCAGGGCACAACCCCAGCAUCUCUCCUCCUCCGCCAUCAACCCGGAUCAACCAGUCGCCCGUCUGCCCAACUCCUUGCACUUCACACAGAGGUCACAGUGCAAGGCUGGAAAACGACACACCGACAAGUUGGGAAAUGAGCCAAUAGACCUAAAAGGGAAACAAGAAUUCCCGAUUUCUGACCUAGAAACUGAGCCACGCAGCCUCCCUCUGUCCUGCUUUUCCAUGGCUGGCACAGGAAUUGAAGAUAGAUGGAGGAAGCAGACAACAGCCAGGUUUCUCAACUAUGGAACUAGACCUGCAAGGAGUUUGUGUAAGAUUCAGAUUUUAUCACACAAGUGCUGAUCCAAAUGACACAAAAAAAACCCUGCUUGUAUCUUCAAACUCUUGGAAAAAGCUACAGCUGAAGCUCUUGUAGGUUUUAUCAUGCACAUUACGAUCAAACAUUUUCAAAAAUGGUCAUUGUUUUUGAAUGGCUUCACUUCAAAAUGAGCAUCUGUUUUUCCAGAUCUGUAAAAAUGGCCCAGGGCUGGGUAGCACCAGACAUCAGAUCUUGAAGCAUCCAAAAAUCAAAAGAUUAUGUUAGCCUGCAUGUAUACACAAACCACAGUUUAUACAAACAAUAAGAGAAUU